rnacentral:rRNA from 1 species
AGAGUUUGAUCCCUGGCUCAGGACGAACGCUGGCGGCGUGCUUAACACAUGCAAGUCGAACGAUGAUGCUGGGGCUUGCUUCAGCGGAUUAGUGGCGAACGGGUGAGUAACACGUGAGUAACCUGCCCUUGACUCUGGGAUAAGCGUUGGAAACGACGUCUAAUACCGGAUAUGACUUACGACCGCAUGGUUUGUGGGUGGAAAGAUUUUUUGGUCAGGGAUGGACUCGCGGCCUAUCAGGUUGUUGGUGGGGUAAUGGCUCACCAAGCCUACGACGGGUAGCCGGCCUGAGAGGGUGACCGGCCACACUGGGACUGAGACACGGCCCAGACUCCUACGGGAGGCAGCAGUGGGGAAUAUUGCACAAUGGGCGAAAGCCUGAUGCAGCAACGCCGCGUGAGGGAUGACGGCCUUCGGGUUGUAAACCUCUUUUAGUACAGAAGAAGCCAGCUUGCUGGUGACGGUAUGGCAGAAAAAG